rnacentral:rRNA from 1 species
UACGAAGGGGGCUAGCGUUGCUCGGAAUCACUGGGCGUAAAGGGUGCGUAGGCGGGUCUUUAAGUCAGGGGUGAAAUCCUGGAGCUCAACUCCAGAACUGCCUUUGAUACUGAAGAUCUUGAGUUCGGGAGAGGUGAGUGGAACUGCGAGUGUAGAGGUGAAAAUUCGUAGAUAUUCGCAAGAACACCAGUGGCGAAGGCGGCUCACUGGCCCGAUACUGACGCUGAGGCACGAAAGCGUGGGGAGCAAACAGGGA